CCCCUCCAGCCAACCUGUCUCCACUCCCACUCUCCCAUCCCCCCAACCCCCUGCAGCCAACCUGUCUCCACUCCCAUCCCCCAACCCCCUCCAGCCAACCUGUCUCCACUCCCACUCUCCCAUCCCCCCAACCCCCUCCAGCCAACAUGUCUCCACUCCCAGUCCUGUUCUGUGACCUUGGGCUUCUACUUCGCGCCUGAGCCAUUGUUACUCCUAGACGUUUCCACUUCAUAAUAACAGUACUUACAGUUGACCGGGCAGGGAGCUCUAGCAGGGCAGCUCUAGCAGGGCAGCUCUAGCAGGGCAGAAAUUUGAUGAACUGACUUGUUGGAAAGGUGGCAUCCUAUGAUGGUGCCACGUUGAAGGUCACUAAGCGCUUCAGUAAGGCCAUUCUACUGCCAAUGUUUGUCUAUGGAGAUUGCAUGUCUGUGUGCUCGAUUGUAUACACCUGUCAGCAACAGGUGUGGCUGAAAUAGCCAAAUCCACUCAUUUGAAGGGGUGUCCACAUACUUUUGUAUAUAGAGAGUAUUUAAGACAUUGGCUCCAAUCUAGGUUGUGCCUUUAGAUUAGGAGAAAAUUAACAACUAAGGAAGAAUUCUUCACUUCUCUCAUUGACUUGUCAAACCCCCAAACCCUGGCCUGGUCCUCUUGGUCUGUUUCACAAGCGUUCCCGGAAGUCUCUGAUGUUGCGCUUCUGGGUCCAGAAACUGUGAUUUUUCUGUUACUGCUUUUGCCAAAGUAUAUUUACGGUAUUUCGAUACAAUUGAGGCUUUCAGUCCAUAUUUAUACGUCUUUAUUAGUGGUUUUUUUUCAUCUGUUUUGUAUUUAUUACAGUUUUUUUUUUACUACAAAGUAUUGUGUAUUUGACUCGCCUGUGGUGCCAGGUAAUAUUGAACGUUCAGACAUCGUGGGCGGCAGGUAGCCUAGCGGUUUCGAUCGUUGCGCCACAUGUUGAAUAUGUUCAGUAGUUCUCCAAAUCCUGAAGCUACUUUUCCUUGAUACAUGUUGAAUUUGGAUUACAUUUGGGAUUUUUUGGUUUGUUGUACCAAAACUCCCUGUACUGUGUACUUUAUAACUGAGCUUCAUGUCCAGUUUUUUUCAUAACGCUCUCAUUGCCACAAAUCAUAUAAGAUACUUCAAAAUAUAUAAUAAUUACUUAGAACUUUUAUUUAUACUCAUUCAUUUCCUAAUACUUCCAAACAUGUUGUUGAACUGUAUUGUAAAAUAUGAUUCUGCUUGUUACAUGUAAGGGCAUAAGAGGAGGUAGAGGAAGAGGUAGAGGUAGAGGAGGUAGAGGUAGAGGUAGAGGUAGAGGUAGUGGUAGAGGAGGUAGUGGUAGAGGUAGAGGAGGUAGAGGUAGUGGUAGAGGUAGAGGUAGAGGAGGUAGAGGUAGUGGUAGAGGUAGAGGAGGUAGAGGUAGUGGUAGAAGUAGUGGGAAAGGAGGUAGAGGUAGAGGUAGAGGUAGUGGUAGAGGAGGUAGAGGUAGUGGUAGAGGUAGAGGUAGAGGUACUCAAUCAUUCAAAGACACCUGCUGUGUGCCUCAAUGUGUGAAGAUCAGGAAUCUGCAAUGUUUGGGGAUUUUACCAACUAUCUUUACUGCAAUAUACAUACUUAAAAAAAAAGAGUCUUUCCUUGAAAUCUACAGGAACUUGUUGGACCGUUUUCUGAAAUAAUGAAACAUGCAAACAUGUUCCAGACAUUAUGUGAGUGUUACUAUAAAUAUGGGGUAUACAGUACAAACAUGCACAAAAGGGUUAUUUUAAUUUUGAUGGGAGACGUAUAAACAAUGUAAACAGUGCUAGGUGUAGGGAAUAGGGAGCAGUUUCACCCCCUAGGUCUCUGUGUAGGGAAUAGGGAGCAGUUUCACACCCUAGGUCUCUGUGUAGGGAAUAGGGAGCAGUUUCACCCCCUAGGUCUCUGUGUAGGGAAUAGGGAGCAGUUUCACACCCUAGGUCUCUGUGUAGGGAAUAGGGAGCAGUUUCACCCCCUAGGUCUCUGUGUAGGGAAUAGGGAGCCGUUUCACCCCCUAGGUCUCUGUGUAGGGAAUAGGGAGCAGUUUCACACCCUAGGUCUCUGUGUAGGGAAUAGGGAGCAGUUUCACACCCUAGGUCUCUGUGUAGGGAAUAGGGAGCCGUUUCACACCCUAGGUCUCUGUGUAGGGAAUAGGGAGCCGUUUCACACCCUAGGUCUCUGUUGAGAGAAACGUAAUUUGAAUCAUCAGUACAGUAAGGGGAUCUUGUUACAGUGAAACAGACGGAAACGGCCUGGAUACAAAAAAUAAAAAAUAAAAACAUUUGCAAAAAAGGUGCAAGUGAUGCUUUUUGAAGUAAAUGAUAGGCUGGCUAAGCCAAACAGUUAUAAUGUGGCACAAUUAUUUCCUGUUUUUCAUGAAUUCGAAAACUUUGUAUGUUUUAUUGUCAACAGGAGUAUUACUGUAAUUAUUAUUAUUAUUAUUAUUGAUUAUUGUUAUGACUAUUACUAAUAUUAGUGGCAGGCCACUGGGUAACAUUGUAUGUCGAUAUCCAAAUGAAAUCUGUGCAAGAUAAUGAUGCAAAAUGUUUAUGAGUUUUUAAAAACAAAUAAAAAAGGUAGACUACAGGACUGUGUCAUUACGGUUGUUGUAACUGUGAAACUCUGAGAUUAACAAAUAGUUGAUCUAAAUCAAUUAUUCAAUUAAUCAAUCAAAAUCAAUUAUGACACCUUUUAUAUGGGGUGGUUGGUAGCCUAGUUAUUAAAGCGUUGGACUAGUAACCCGAAAGGUUACUAGAUCAAAAUCCCCGAGCUGACAAGUUAAAAAUCUGUCGUUUCUGACCCUGAACAAGGGUCCCCUGGUAGGCAGUCAUUGUAAAUAAGAAUUUGUUCUUAACUGACUUGCCUAGUUCAAUAAAGGUUAAAUACAAAAAAAAAAGAUCAAUGUGUUUACUUUUUCCAUGUGUCAUCAGUAGGCCUACUGGAAUACAUUUGAAAAACAGGAAAGAAGAG
rnacentral:lncRNA from 1 species